rnacentral:rRNA from 1 species
UACGUAGGGAGCAAGCGUUGUCCGGAAUCAUUGGGCGUAAAGCGCGCGUAGGUGGCUUCGUAAGUCCGUUGUGAAAGUCAAAGGCUCAACCUUUGAAAGCCGAUGGAUACUGCGGAGCUAGAGUACGGAAGAGGCGAGUGGAAUUCCUGGUGUAGCGGUGGAAUGCGCAGGUAUACUCAGGAGGAACACCAAUAGCGAAGGCAGCUCGCUGGGACGUUACUGACACUGAGGCGCGAAAGCGUGGGGGAGCGAACAGG